AGGUCUUCGCUUCAUAUGACAAGAAAAAAUAAAUAAUUAUAACAAUUACAUAAAAUUAAAUCACAUCAGUAUAAUAUUUACAUUAGCCUAGACAAAUUCCAAACAGGGAUGGGUACCGUCAGCUCGAUGCAGGGCAAAUAUUGUUCAAGCACAUUGUGCGAACAGAAAACCGGCCAAGGAGAGUCAGCGUAUUUUUUUAGGGACAUGAAACUAGUCCAGCACAAUUUAAAACAUCCGAAAAUCAACGUUGAGCGUCUAAUGUUGAAGCACAAUCCAUCGUAUAUUCCAUUUCUGCCAACACCGAAUCAGCGAUGUAACGCGUUUGUAGACAGGCCGUUAUUCAAUUCAAAUCUGAUUUCUGAUUCUUCAAGUAGGCUUACGUUAGCAUGGCAAGGUUCCGGUGAUCCCCCUUUUCUAUGAAAAAGACAAAAUCAUACACCAACUACUCCUACAAUUAGCAGCAAACUAUCGGAUUUAACUGUCCUUUGUUUUCGAGGCAAACAUGGCAACCGAAAUCGUCCACGACGAUGAACGAUGACGGGAAAAUCUUGGAUCGAUGGGAGGCGAUGAGAAAUAAAUCGCGAACGAAACUACCAUUUGUACAAAUGAGAAGAGGUGAACAAUGUCUAAAGAUUCCGUUGUAAUAUACAAAACAACAGUGGACGUUAACUAAAAUAUAUAUUUACUUAAUUAACGAUAAGUUGAAUUUUAAAAAUAACACUAAGAAGUGACGAUCGCUUCUUAUGAUCGAUCUAUUUCAACUUCCAUCUUCUAACUCAGUGUUCUGGUACUCAAAUAAAUAAAUACAAAUGUUUUAAAA